rnacentral:rRNA from 1 species
AAGUCGUAACAAGGUCUCCGUAGGUGAACCUGCGGAGGGAUCAUUACGAAGCGUGGGCUACGGCCCGACGUCCUACCCUUUGCGUACUAAACCUCGUUGCCUCGGGGGGCAGCGCCCCGUGCCUCCCGGUGGGAAAUGUGAACACCGCGUCAACCGUCGUCGGAUCAAGCAAGUAAAUGUAAUCAAAACUUUCAACAACGGAUCUCUUGGUUCUGGCAUCGAUGAAGAACGCAGCGAAAUGCGAUAAGUAAUGUGAAUUGCAGAAUUCAGUGAAUCAUCGAAUCUUUGAACGCACAUUGCGCCCCUUGGCAUUCCGAGGGGCAUGCCCGUUCGAGCGUCAUUUCAACAGUCAAGCCUCGCUUGGUAUUGGACACCGGGGCCGGCUUCUCGGCCCCGCGUCCUAAAUCCACCGGCGGGACCGACCAUCUCCUAGCGUUGCGGAAAUCAAAUCGCUCCGGGGCGGGACGCCUUCGCCGUUAAAGACCCAUCAAAGGUUGACCUCGGAUCGGGUAGGGAUACCCGCUGAACUUAAGCAUAUCAAUAAGCGGAGGAAAAGAAACCAACAGGGAUUGCCCUAGUAACGGCGAGUGAAGCGGCAACAGCUCAAAUUUGAAAUCCGGCGUCAGCCCGAGUUGUAAUUUGCAGAGGAUGCUUCUAGGCAGCGGCCGGUCUAAGUUCCUUGGAACAGGACGUCACAGAGGGUGAGAAUCCCGUACGUGACUGGCUUGCACCUUCCACGUAGCUCCUUCGACGAGUCGAGUUGUUUGGGAAUGCAGCUCUAAACGGGAGGUAAAUUUCUUCUAAAGCUAAAUACCGGCCAGAGACCGAUAGCGCACAAGUAGAGUGAUCGAAAGAUGAAAAGCACUUUGGAAAGAGAGUUAAAAAGCACGUGAAAUUGUUGAAAGGGAAGCGCUUGCAACCAGACUUGCGGGUGGCGUUCCACCGGUCUUCUGACCGGUCCACUCGCCGCCCGCAGGCCAGCAUCGUCCGGGGCCGUCGGAUAAAGGCGUCGGGAAUGUGGCUCCCCUCGGGGAGCGUUAUAGCCCGUCGCGCAAUACGGCGAGCCCCGGGCGAGGUCCGCGCUCCGGCAAGGAUGCUGGCGUAAUGGUCGUAAGCGGC